UAGUAGCAUUCAUUCAUUCAACUUUGUGCCGCGCAAGCGUGCGUAGUUCCUCAGUUCCUUCGCGUGUACCUACCAAGCAAUAAGCAAGAAGCAAAAAAAAAAAAACAAAAAUUAAAUAAAAUAAUCAUCAUAAUAAUAAUAACGAUCUACAUUGUGAUUCCAUAUAUAUACACACACACGCAGAUCAGUAUAUAUACAUAAGCCGUUGUGCUACGUGACUUUAAUUCAUUCGUCGCCUGACAUCAGUCGCCAAUCGUUGUCGUCGCGUUAAUUCCAGUGAUUAGCAGCAGCAGCUACCAACGUUUUGUCGCAUUUCCCAUUGGGUGUUUGCCUUAAAGUGCGCCAUAAACUAAAAGGCAACGGCAGCAGCGGCAGCUGGAAAUACGGCCCACCCAAUACGCCUACAAUAACAACAGCAACAGCAGCAGCAACAGCAACCACUGCGAAGCUAGCACACGGAGAAAUCACAACAACGCCAACAGCCAACGAGCAGCGAGCGUGUGACAGUUGACAAAAAAAAA